rnacentral:rRNA from 1 species
AUGGCUCUCCUUGCCGCCGCCACAGCCCCGCACUCCGAUCUCGGCGACCUUCGGCGGGAAUCGACAGUGCCAAGCAUACAACAAGGAUCCCCUCCCUCCGCUCCUCCCUCCUGUCCGGCGAGAUCCGGCGCGCGCGUCCUCCAGCGCCACCCGCGCUCGUCUCCCGUCGCUAGGGUUUCGGCCGGCGUGGUCCGGCGACUCAGGUGCGUCCCUCCACUCCAUCUCCUCCUCCUCACAUCCCUCCCUCACUUCCUCGCCUCGUGUUCUCUCCCUCCCAGAUCCAGGAUGCCAUGGGCAGGAUGGCCUCUUCCUCCCCUGCCCAGACAUCAUGGAGUUGCGGUUGGCCGUGAGCCCAGCCACCUCCUUGCGGCCACAUCAUCUGGAUCUGGCCAGCGGCAGAGGAGGAGUUGGCGGUUGAAGAGGUCCCGGCGAGAUCGGACCCGCCCAAGGGCACGUGGACGAACGCGGACGGCUGACGCGUCCAUCCAGGCGACGUCGACCCCACCGUACCCCAGCGCGGCCCGGAUCACCGACUCCUCCUGCUUCCCCCAGUACACCGUCUCCCUCAAGUGCCUGGAGACCAACCAGGACAAGAGCAAGUGA